UGCAGCAGGCGCGAAACCUNUACAAUGCAUGAAAGUGUGAUANGGGGAUUCUCAGUGCUCAAGCUUUGCNUGGGCUUUUGCCAAGAGUAAAUAUCUUGGAGAAUAAGUGGUGGGCAAGACCGGUGCCAGCCGCCGCGGUAACACCGGCGCCACAAGUGGCAAUCGCGNUUAUUGGGCCUAAAGCGUUCGUAGCCGGUUCAGUAAAUCCUUUGUGAAAUCGUNCGGCUUAACCCUACGGCGUGCAGAGAACACUGCUUAACUAGAGACCGGGAGGAGUCAGAGGUAUNCCUGGGGGACCGGUAAAAUGGGAUAAUCCCAAGUAGACCGCCGAUGGCGAAGGCAUCUGACCAGAACGGAUCUGACGGUGAGGGACGAAAGCCAGGGGAGCGAUCCGGAUUAGAUACCCGAGUAGUCCUGGCCGUAAACGCUGCGAGCAAGGNUGUUGCAUCUCUUACCAUGGAUGGUGCAGUUGUCGAAANGGAAGGCUGUUAAAGCUCCGCCGCCUNGGAGNAGCGUCCC
rnacentral:rRNA from 1 species